rnacentral:rRNA from 1 species
CUGAUGUUGAAACACUGGUUCUCAUAUGAUCACUGAAGUUGAGCAACAUUGAGCCUGGUCAGUACCUAGAUGGGUGACUGCUUGGGAAUACCAAGUGCUGUAA